GGUUCGGUAGUUCAGCUGGUUAGAAUGCCGCCCUGUCACGGCGGAGGUCGCGGGUUCGAGUCCCGUCCGGACCGC
rnacentral:tRNA from 2 species